rnacentral:tRNA from 1 species
GGACCAUGGCUUAGUGGAAGAGCCGCUGCUUUGCAUGCAGAAAGUUCCAGGUUCCAUUCCUGGCAUCUCUA